rnacentral:rRNA from 1 species
GGUUGUGAUCAUACCAGCAGUAAUGCACCGGAUCCCAUCAGAACUCCGCAGUUAAGCGUGUUUGGGCGAGACUAGUACUAGGAUGGGUGACCCCCUGGGAAGUCCUCGUGUUGCAACCC